AGUAUGUGCUUCAGUUGCCACAAGCAGGGAGGAAACUGAUAAAGGUUAUCCAAUGAGAAUGUUAAAAACAACUUUUUGCCCAAUUAUAUUGUAACACUCUGGCACCUGAAAUAUAUAAAAAUGCA